rfam:Yersinia pseudotuberculosis IP 32953, complete genome.
CUUUCCCCUUUUGCUUGCCAGCCAACCAGCCGACACUAAACCCAAGAGGCUCCAGCCAUUGACGGAAAGUAGUGGCGUGCUGUUCUGCCAGCAGUUCGGUCGGUGCCAUCAGGGCAACCUGCUUACCGUGAGCGAUGGCCCGUAGCGCGGCCAGUGCGGCUACCAGUGUUUUACCGGAACCGACAUCCCCCUGAAUCAGUCGCAUCAUCGGGAAACUUUGGGUCAUAUCCCGUUCAAUUUCGGCGACGACCCGUU